rnacentral:rRNA from 1 species
AGUGAACGCUGGCGGUAGGCCUAACACAUGCAAGUCGAACGGCAGCACAGUAAGAGCUUGCUCAUACGGGUGGCGAGUGGCGGACGGGUAAGGAAUAUAUCGGAUUCUACUUUUUCGUGGGGGAUAACGGAGGGUAAUUUACGCUAAUACCGCAUACGACUUACGGGUGAAAGCAGGGGAUCUUCGGGGCUUGAGCGAUUGAACGAGCCGAUGUCGGAUUAGCUCGUUGGCGGGGUAAAGGCCCACCAAGGCGACGAUACGUAGCUGCUCUGCGAGGAUGCUCACUCACACUGGAUGUCAGGCACGGUCCAGACUCCGACAGUAGGCACCAGUGCGGAAUAUUUGACAAAGCGCCCAAGCCUGACCCCACCCAACCGCGUAAGUGCAGAAGGACUUCGGAUUGUAAAGCCCUUCUGUUAGGAAAGAAAAGCAGCCGAUUAAUCCACCAAUGUACUGACGGUACCAAAAGAAUAAGCACCGGCUAACUUCGUG